rnacentral:rRNA from 1 species
GACGAACGCUGGCGGCGUGCCUAAUACAUGCAAGUAGAACGCACAGUUUAUACCGUAGCUUGCUACACCAUAGACUGUGAGUUGCGAACGGGUGAGUAACGCGUAGGUAACCUGCCUGGUAGCGGGGGAUAACUAUUGGAAACGAUAGCUAAUACCGCAUAAUAUUAAUUAUUGCAUGAUAAUUAAUUGAAAGGUGCAAUUGCACCACUACCAGAUGGACCUGCGUUGUAUUAGCUAGUAGGUGAGGUAACGGCUCACCUAGGCGACGAUACAUAGCCGACCUGAGAGGGUGAUCGGCCACACUGGGACUGAGACACGGCCCAGACUCCUACGGGAGGCAGCAGUAGGGAAUCUUCGGCAAUGGACGAAAGUCUGACCGAGCAACGCCGCGUGAGUGAAGAGGGGUUUCGGAUCGUAAAGCUCUGUUGUAAGAGAAGAACGGGUGUGAGAGUGGAAAGUUCACACUGUGACGGUAUCUUACCAGAAAGGGACGGCUAACUACGUG